rnacentral:rRNA from 1 species
AUUGAACGCUGGCGGCAGGCCUAACACAUGCAAGUCGAACGAGUGGCGGACGGGUGAGUAAUGUCUGGGAAACUGCCCGAUGGAGGGGGAUAACUACUGGAAACGGUAGCUAAUAACGCAUACCAUCGGAUGUGCCCAGAUUGGAUGAGCUAGUAGGUGGGGUAACGGCUAACCUAGGCGACGAUCCCUAGCUGGUCUGAGAGGAUGAACAGCCACACUGGAACGGAGACACGGGCCAGACUCCUACGGGAGGAAGCAGUUGGGAAUAUUGCACAAUGGGCGCAAGCCGGAUGCAGCCAUGCCGCGUGUAUGAAGAAGGCCUUCGGGUUGUAAAGUACUUUCAGCGGGGAGGCGGUACCCGCAGAAGAAGCACCGGCUAACUCCGUGCCAGCAGCCGCGGUAAUAC